rnacentral:rRNA from 1 species
GCUCAGAACGAACGCUGGCGGCGUGCCUAACACAUGCAAGUCGAGCGAGAAAGCCCGCAAGGGUGAGUAAAGCGGCGCACGGGUGAGUAACACGUGGGUAACCUGCCCUAGAGUCCGGAAUAACUCGCCGAAAGGCGUGCUAAUGCCGGAUGAGACCACGGGAGCCUCGGCUCCUGCGGGAAAAGGUGGCCUCUGUACACAAGCUAUCGCUCUAGGAUGAGCCCGCGGCCCAUCAGCUCGUUGGCGGGGUAAUGGCCCACCAAGGCUACGACGGGUAGCUGGUCUGAGAGGACGAUCAGCCACACUGGAACUGAGACACGGUCCAGACUCCUACGGGAGGCAGCAGUGGGGAAUCUUGCGCAAUGGGCGAAAGCCUGACGCAGCAACGCCGCGUGUGUGAUGAAGGUCUUCGGAUCGUAAAGCACUGUCGCGAGGGACGAAUAAGGGGCGGGCUAACAUCCCGUUCCGAUGACGGUACCUCGAGAGGAAGCACCGGCUAACUCUGUGCCAGCAGCCGCGGUAAUACAGAGGGUGCAAGCGUUGUUCGGAAUUAUUGGGCGUAAAGCGCGUGUAGGCGGCCUUGCAAGUUGGGUGUGAAAGCCCUCGGCUUAACCGAGGAAGUGCGCCCAAAACUACGAGGCUUGAGUGCCGGAGAGGGUGGCGGAAUUCCCGGUGUAGAGGUGAAAUUCGUAGAUAUCGGGAGGAACACCAGUGGCGAAGGCGGCCACCUGGACGGUAACUGACGCUGAGACGCGAAAGCGUGGGGAGCAAACAGGAUUAGAUACCCUGGUAGUCCACGCUGUAAACGAUGAGCGCUAGGUGUUGUGGGUGUUGACCCCCGCAGUGCCGCAGCUAACGCAUUAAGCGCUCCGCCUGGGAAGUACGGCCCGCAGGGCUAAACUC